rnacentral:lncRNA from 1 species
UUUAUAGCCGAUCUAAACAACUCUUGAUGUCUAUUUUUUUUGUUGUUUUGUGAUUUGGCUGCUUCUUUCUGUUGCGUGUUUAUUGCUCUUUGCAGGUGACAGAGGUGUUAGAGCAUGCGGACGAGAGGCAGCUAGGAGCAGCGGCAGCCAGGCAUGGCAGAGGAGGCGAAACGGCGCUGGGGGCAUGCGGCGCCAAAAAGGGUUAGGGAACCCUAGGGUUUUUUUCUGACUUUGUUUAAUUUUUGGACUUGGUUUGGGUUAAGGGUUUUGGGCCAUAUUUGGCCAUUGUAAUGGAAUAUUUAAUUUAUUUUAAUUUUGGUUGUUUUGCUGGUAUGGGCCCGGGCAAAAAUUGGGUUCUACAGCUGCCCCUCUUUGCUCAUUGUCGUGUAACCGGAAUAGAGCAAAGACUGAGAAAGACUAAUUUUGCCCGGUCUCGCCGAGUCUUGACUUCUCAGUGCCUUUCUUCUUCAAGUAGCCUCAUUCCAAUCCACUGCGUCUUGUUGCUUUGAUCCACUUCACGGCAUCUUUAGAGAGAUAUGUCUUCAAUCUACUCUGCUGCAACUCUAUGGGGAUGAGAUUUGUGGUUUUAGUCUGCUCCACUGCAACUUCAGGGAGAUAAGACUUUUUAUGGUAAAUUUAAUCCGACCUACUGCAACUUCAGAGGUAUAGGAUUUAUGGUUUUAAUCCGCUCCACUGAAACUUAAGGGAGAUAGGAUUGGUCUCUUCUGUCUGCUCCACUACUGCUUAAGGAGAUAAGACUGGAUGUGAUCUGCUCCACUACUGCUUAGGGAGAUAACAUCUGUGGUUUUAAUCCACUCCACUGCAACUUCAGGGAGAUAGGAUUGAUUUCUUCUAUCUGUUCCACUAAUGCUUAGGGAGAUAAGACUGGAUGCGAUCUGCUCCACUGCUGCUUAGGGAGAUAAGAUCUGUGGUUUUAAUCCGCUCCACUGCAACUUCAGGGAGAUAGGAUUGAUUUCUUCUGUCUGCUCCACUACUGCUUAGGGAGAUAAGACUGGAUGCGAUCUGCUCCACUACUGCUUAAGGAGAUAAGAUCAGUGGUUUUAAUCCGCAACACUGCAACUUCAGGGAGAUAUGAUUGAUUUCUUCUGUCUACUCCACUACCGUUUAGGGAGAUAAGACUGAAUGUGAUCUCCUCCACUACUGCUUAGGAAGAUAAGAUCUGUGGUUUUAAUCUGCUCCACUACAACUUCAGGGAGAUAGAAUUGAUUUUUUUUCUUUUUAAUUGUAAUGUCGGGGAGCACGAUUCACUGUUGUAGCUUCAAUCAGUUCCACUACACCACUAAGGAAGUAAGAUUCACCGUUGCGGCUUCAAUCUUUUUAAUUGCAAUGUCGGGGAAGGAAGCAAGAUUCACCGUCGUAGCUUUAAUCUGCUCCACUGCACUGCCAGAAAAGUAAGAUUCGCCGUUGCGGCUUCAAUCUUUGAAAUUACAAUGUCGGGGAAGCAAGAUUCGCCAUCGUAGCUUUAAUUUGCUCCACUGCACCGCCAGGAAAGUAAGAUUCGCCAUUGCGGCUUCAAUCUUUUUAAUUGCAAUGUCGGGGAAGCUUUCGCUAUCGUAGCUUUAAUCUGCUCCACUGCACCGCCAGAAAAGUAAGAUUCACCGUUGCGGCUUCAAUCUUUUAAAUUGCAAUGUCGGGGAAGCAAGAUUCGACAUCGUAGCUUUAAUCUGUUCCACUGCACCGCCAGGAAAGUAAGAUUCGCCAUUGCGGCUUCAAUCUUUUUAAUUGUAAUGGUGGGUAUGAAUAACUCUAUUGAUCCGCUUUCUAGGGAACAUGACCUAUAAAGUCCAUUUUAUGAACUAUUUAUGCCUAGUGUUUAGGAUAGUAUGAUCGGAAUGAAUCAAAAUUUCCUAACCAGAUGUGUAUGAAUGAUUUUUGCAUGAAUGCAGAAUGUCAUGAGAAUGAACCCUUUUUAAUGUUUGGGUAGUCAUUCCUCAUUGUGCAUCAAGGUUCUAUCACUGAUGCUUUCUCGUUCACCAAGUAUCUUUGACAGAAGAUUCAAAGAAAUAGUCUCAAUUUAGACUAUCCUUUCUCAAAUGUUUCCAACCCUCAGGUUUGGUCAAUUCUAAACAAUAGUCAUGUUUCAGGUCAUCGUAUUAUUUAAAAACUUUCAGAGUAAUAUACAGAACUCCUUUUGCAUGAGUAUUGUCAGUCCAUUAAUCGUUAUAUCAAUGAAAAAUGCUUAAAAAGAUUAUCAAAAUGGACAAGAUAAAAUUUUGUUGAGAGCAAAGCUCAAAAUGAAUGAAUUAAUCAAGAUAGCAAAUUUUUCUAAGAUAUGAGAUGAAUAAGAUGAAAAAGAUUAUCACAAAGGAUAAGAUGGAAAUUUAUUGAGAGCAAAGCUCUAAAUGAACAAAUUAAUCAAGAUAGCCAAUUUUGCUAGAAUACAAAAUGAGAAUAUAUUAAUCAAGAUGGCGUAUUUUGUCAAAAUACAAGAGAAAUGAAUGGAAAUAGGUGCCCCAGAUAUCGUAGCAUGAGCUUCUCUGCCCCAAACUUCUUGAGGACCCUUUUGAACUUGAUAUGUGUUUAGAAGUCCUAGAAGACUUUGUUGAUGCCCUAGGAUGCAGCGUUUCAACUUCUUACUAAUUCAGAGAAGACAAGGCUACCGCAUGCCCCACCUUCAAUCAAAAUUUGAACUGCCCAUUCCUGGGUUUUCAAUUCAAAACCCCUUUGGUCUCAAGGUGCCCUUUGCGGGUUUUCUCCUUGGCCUCUCAUUUUUCUUUUUUCGUUCUUCUUUUCUUUUCUUCUUUUCUUUUCAUUUUUUCUCUUUUUUUUUCAAGUGAAGUAUUUGUUCCUUGAAUCAAAAUUCUUAAGAUUAGACAUGUUCUUGCCAUCCAUCUUGGUCGAUACCGACGCUCUCCUAGAUAAGGCCUUCCACAUAAGGUCCUUCAGGCUUGGCAUCCACUUUCUUCUGAAGUCCCCUCUGUAUGGGAAGGAUCUUCUUCGAUAUCAGGUCCCCCUCAUGAAAUUCUUUGGGCGAACCUUUUUUAGUGAGCUCGCAUCAUUCGCUUUUGGUACAUUUAACCAUGACGGAUAGCUUUCAAUAUUUUCUUUUCAAUCAACUUUAACUGAUCAUAUCGAGCUUGCAUCCAUUCUGCUUCAUCCAAAUUUAGCUCGAAGGGUAGGAAUACAACUUUGAUGGGUAAAACUACUUCUAUUCCAUAUACCAAUGAGAAAUGAGUUGCCCCGGUAGAGGUUUUUUUUAUUUUUUUUCUCGUCUUUUGCUUUUUUGCUUUUUUUUACGUUUUUUACAUUUUUUUACUUUUUUUACCUCCACUGUCCCGUUCAUUUUAAGGCGAUAUGGUGUUAAUCUUUGAACAGAGUGCAAACUUCUGAUGUCGUGCCGUUGUUCAAAUUCAAUACAUGGUCUAAUAUGGUCCUUUUUUGGCAUUCCAUACUGACAUAUGAUUUUCAAGAAUUUGCUAACUGUUGCCUUCGUGACAUUGGCAUAUGAAGCAACUUUCACCCACCUAGUGAACUACUCGAUGACCACAAAGAUGGCUCGAUGACCGCUAGAAGCUUUUGGCGAGAUCAUCUCAAUGACCUCCAUGCCCCACAUAGAGAAAGGCCAUGGAAAAGUCAUAGCAUGAAGAGAUAAAGGAGGCACAUAAAUCUUGUCUCCAUAAAUUUGGCACUUGUGGCAUUUCUUGGUAUAACUAAUGCAAUCUCCUCUCAUGGUGGACCACAGUACCCAAAUCUCAUUAUUUGCUUGGUUAUUGCAAAACCAUUAGCAUGUGUUCAUCAGACGCCCUUAUAGACCUUUUCCAAGAUCUUCUUAGGCUUAACAGCGUCCGCACAUCUUAGUAGCUCAGGCAUAUCUUGGUAUGAUCAUGCGAAAACAUCUUUGAAUUCUCAAAGUAACUCAAUGACGUCUCGCUUUGUCUCCACGGUGAUACAAGCUCUAAUCUUCACCUUUUUCUCUUAUCUUAAGCUCACAAUUCCCCACUGAUUUUUUUGUAAGGUAGGAUCUAUUUUUCGACUUGCUCUACCAUCUUUAACAAAUCAGGAGAUAAACUACAGUCUCGAUCAUCUUCGAAGUCUUGAGGUUCCUCUAGAUACAUAUCUUGCUCAAAAGAAAGUUCUGAGUCAAUAGUAGUGUCGUUCAUAUCAUUGAUAUCUGGAGACCUAUUCUAGGGACGACGGAAAACUCAAAGAGCUAAUGAAUCAAAGGGUAAUUAUCUGUAUGGUAUGAGUAUGAAUAAAAAUGGAAGGAACAAAAGAAUGUUUUCCAAGACAAAACACAGAGAUGCAUUUUAUUGAAAUAAAAAUAGUGGACAUGUGCCUUUUUCACAAAAGGAUUUUCUAUUGCUCCCAGGCUUAGAGCAAUAAGAGUGUUCCAAAUAUUACUCUGAAAUGGUCCUAAAAAUUACAAGAAUCUCCUCCACAGUCCAGUUGUUUAGAACGCCUCUAGGGAUGUAGAAACAAAUCCCUGAUAGGUUUUUUAGUUCCUUCUUCGAAGGCCCAAACAUCUUUCCUUUCCAUACUAUCGAUAUAUUUAAAGAAUUCCAAUUCUUUAUCAUCUAUCUGGCUCCGUACUAGAGUUCUGAACUCAACGCACUUUUGGAUUUUAGGAAAUUUAUUGUAUGUAAUGAGAUGUAAUAUUGAUGCAUGAAUGCAAAAAGAUGCAUGCGAUGAAAUGUAAUGCAGAUGCAUGAAUGCAAAAAGAGACGUUGAUUCUUGGUUCAAUUCUAUUAGAACAACUUUACUAGAAAACAAAUCUCUUUACAUAAAAUGGAUAUUUACAUAUACAAUCUUGUCCUGACACUCAAAGUAAAGAUAUUGUUCCUUUUCUUCAAAUUCAUAUGUUAAGAUUGAAUCUCAAAAAUUCUUCAAAGGGGCACCUUCUCUAUCUCCCUUUUGCUUGAUCCGAGCUGUGACCCAUUGUUCACUCAUCCUUGUGGUGCUCAUUGGCUUCUUUAAGAAAGUCAACGCUAGCGGCUCUUGAAGAGUCUUCGUAAGCUUGAGUCUUCGGGUAAUGAGGCAAAGUCGUGUACUCAUCCAUUAAACUAUCAUCAUUCUCUUAUCACGUUUUCUUGGACCAUAUUCGGACAACCGUAUUAUCAUCCACUUUAUCAAGAAACUCAUUUUCUUAUGACAAGCUCUCUAUUUAGCAAUUGAACGUGAAUCAACACCUCUUUCUUAUGAUGAAAAUGCAAUUCAAUCAUAACCAAAACAAAAGAAAACAGGUUAGUACAAAGCAAAAGCAAGAAAGAAUAAAUAGAACACCUAUUUAGGUGACCACUAGGGGUUUGAAGUGAUUCUACCUAGGGUAGGCUCUUAAAGCUCACUAUAUGUUGUUUGGUUCUAAAGUAAAGGUACCCGAACCGAAAAAUUCCUCGAUCCUCACCCAUUAUAAGUUCAUAUGAACCAAGUUCGGUUCAAGGGAAUACAUUUCCCUAUGGCUGCAUGGAAAUGAAAAUCUUACGAAGCCAUAGGUAUGGAUGUAUCCCGAAAGCAAUCCACUAUCCUGCACGGAGGUGAAAACCUCACGAAGGACUAGUUUCUUACUUCCACUUAAAAGGUGUGACCCAUAAUCGUGCAAUACAAUGUGUGGAAAUAUUAAAAGGCUUGAACCAAAAAAGUAAGCAUAUUAAAGACCACAAAAACAGCGGACAAAAUGCAACGAAAGAAUCAUACAUUUAAACUAAAUUUUCAAUUUUCGACAAAAAGACAAAAAUCAAUCAACUCGUGGCUUGACUCUCUUAUUUUAGUCCCCAGCGGAGUCGCCAAGCUGUUGACACCAUUUUUUGAUAAAACGGGGUCGACUUGGAUUAAAAACAAUAAAAACGAACACGGGAGUCGCCACCAAUCUUUUUUGAUGAGGUGUGAUCGGGUCACCGAAAAGUGGUUGUUUUUAGUAAACGAUUUAAUUUUUAUUAAAACAACGAUUUUGGUCUACGAAAUUCAGAAAUAUGGGUUCGGGAGUCGGUUACGCAUGAGGAAGGAUUAGCACCCUCAAUACGCCCAAAAUUGGUACCUAGUUGAUUACUUAAUGUCUUGGUGUCAAAAAUUAAAAAACUCGAAAAGAAUUUAAAAAUACGAUCCCUCUUUAUAUUGUGUUAUUUUAAAAUUACUCGAAUAAAUCAAAAUAGAAAAUGCCUCAUUAUCUCGAAGUAACAAGAUGUCACAUCCAGUAAGUUAGGACUCGACAUAUCGUAUUUUGAGAGUAAGCUUGCAUUUUAUUUUUAUUUAAACCUCAUUCAUUUCAAUUUUAAAAGGAUAUUCGGUUAUUUAGAUUCAAUACGAGAAAAAUCAAAACUCAAUGAGUUAGGGCACGAUUUCUUGAAUUUUCUAAAUAUAGAAUAUUACAUUUAUUUUUGAGAUUUUAAAAGGAUAUUUGGUCAUUUGGUCCAACGAGAAAUCGAAAACCAGCACGUUAAGGCACGUUUUCUCGAUUUUCCAAACGUAAAAUAUUGCCUUAUUUUGAAAUUAUCACUUUAAAGAAUGGGUGAAAGUCGAUGAAAUAUCUAAAAAUAAUACAAGUGUUUUUGAUUAUUCCUUAAAAGAAAUCAUUGGAAAACUUUGAAAGGGUCAUACGUGGCUAACGAUGAUAUAAAACGUGAAUAAUAAUUUAUGAGCAAAAUGUUAUGUUAAUGAUUGGCAAUAAUACGAAAGCAAAUAAACAAAUUAUAACGUACCACACUACAUUUUAAUAAACAAAUAAACGAAACAAAAUAAUUGAAUAAACAAACAAAUAAACAAAUAAACAAAUAAAUCGAUCACAUCACAUGCAUCAUUUUAAUACAUCAAUAUUAAUAAUCCAAGUAAGCGAAACGGAAUAAUAGAAGACAACUUUAUAACUAAAGUCUAAAACAAGUAAUUUAUGAGAUCAAUUUGAAAUGAAUGAUAAAAAUAUUUCAAACAAUAUAGAAAACUUAAAAUGAAUAAUACUAAAAUAGUUUAAAGUAAAUAAAUAUAAAAAAAAAACCUAAACAGUAUUCUUCUUUUCUUGUUAAAAAAUAUAAAACUUUUAAGACAAUACAUACGUGGUAAUUUAAAGCAAAUGAUGUAAAUAAAAAAUGAUUAAACAUUAGGUAAAACAUUUAUAAUAAAUAAUAUAAAACUUAAAAUAUAUAAUGGUAAUGAAAGGGCCCCUUUUUUUUAAAAUAAAAAUAAAAAAAUAAAUUAAUUGGAAUAAGGACGAAGUUGAAAUUGGAAUGAAAAUUAGGGGCUUUAAUUGCAAAAAAAAGAACGGGUCGCAAGGGAUUAAAAUGGCACACGCGCGAAGAAUGAAGGACUAAUUGGGAAAUAUGCCCCAGUCCUAGAGCGCAACGUUUCAGUGCAAAGGACCAUACAUGGUCAAAGGACUUGAUUGAAGCAGAAACAAAACUCACAGCCCAAAUCAAAAAAACAAAGAGUCAGAUUGCAUUAUAGCGCAAAAGCGGAGGGGCUAAAUUCAUAAAUUACCCAUUAAGGGCAAGAAUGCUUUGAUUUCCCCCUCAAACGGCACUGUUUUGCAAUCCAUAAAAGCAAAAAUUUUGCUUUCUUUUUCUGCUAUUUUAUUUUUUGCAAAGAACACCAAAAAAGGGAAAGUUUAACAUCAUUUUCAAAAAAAAACACAGAGAGUCCCCAUGGCCUCUCUCUCGCACAGUCCCCUCUUCCGACUUAAGCUCCUCCGGCGUUCGACUACGCCGCCGUCGACUAGCGACCGGCGACACGACGGGAUGGGCUUUGCAGCCCCGUUUAAAAAUGUUCGAAGGCUAGGCCGAAGAAAAGGGAACCCGUGCGCAUCUCCUGAUUCGAUCCGACGAUGAGAAAAGAUCUCCGGCGGCUGCCUGCGGGAUGAUUCCAGGCAUGAUUUCUUUCCUUUUCUUUUCCCUUUACUCUUAUUAUUUAUUAAAACCGAUUUUGUAGAAGCAUGGAACAAAUAAAAAAAGAAAAUAAAAAGAAACGGAAAACAGAGGAAAAAAGGGGAAACAAUCAGAUUUUCCCUUUUCAAAUAUUUGUUCUGCCUUUUUUAUUCACUGGUGCGCGUUCGUAAAAAGAAGAAGAAGAUUACAAAGGUGAAAUUUCGGCUUUUAUAGCCGAUCUAAACAACUCUUGAUGUCUACUUUUUUGUUGUUUUGCGAUUUGGCUGCUUCUUUCUGUUGCGUGUUUAUUGCUCUUUGCAGGUGACAGAGGUGUCAGAGCAUGCGGAGGAGAGGCGGCUAGGAGCGGUGACAGCCAGGCAUGGCAGAGGAGGCGAAACGGCGCUGGGGGCAUGCGGCGCCAAAAAGGGUUAGGGAACCCUAGGGUUUUUUUCUGACUUUGUUUAAUUUUUGGGCUUAGUUUGGAUUAAGGGUUUUGGGCCAUUGUAAUGGAUUAUUUAAUUAUUUUAAUUUUGGCUGUUUUGCUGGUAUGGGCUCAGGCAAAAAUUAGGCUCUACAAUUUUUAUAAUUUUAAAAUAUUAAAUCAAAUUUUUAUCAUUUGUAGAGUUAAAAAGUACAAUUUUACUUU